AAAAAAAUAUUUACUCUAAUAUUUAAAUAUUAGAGAGAGAUCAUCACCUCUCUCUCUACAUAUAGAGCUGUUAGAUUCAGUGUCUUUUUUGGGGGGUUGGGGGCUACUUUUAACUUCAAAGAUUAUUUAUUAAUUAUUGUGGUGGGUAAAAUCAUGCUCCUCACUCCAAAAUUCGUGUACACUCAGAUCUUACAGUGUGCACUAUUUGGAAAGAGGGUCUUUGCAGAUGUAAUUAGGAAGAAAAGGAGAGGACGCACAGAAGAAUGUCAUGCAAAGAUGGAGGCAGAGGUCAGGAUGAUGCAGCAAUAAGCUAAGGAAAGCCAAGCGUUGCUGGGAGCCACCAGAAAUGAGGAAAAAGCAAGGAGGGAUUCUUUUCUAGAGCCUUCAGAGAGAGAGUGUGGCUCAAUCAAGAGUCUGGCAACACCUUGAUUUUAAACUUUUAGUUUCCAGAACUAUGAUAGAAUAAAUUUCUUUUGUUCUUAAGUGAAACCACGGGUUAAAUCCAUUGCACUUGUAACCUGCCUUUGUUGAUCAAAGUCAUUUUGAUUGUUACCACCAAAAACUUGCCUGUCCUCCAAGAUGCUGCUUAUACAAGAUGUUUGCCUGCUUUGUUUUUCAGGAAAUUGGAGUCAGCUGUGUCUCCUUCUAGCUCAAGCCAGUUAAGACUGGUUAGGACUGCCUAUCCUUCAACUUGGCAUGCACCAGUGCCCACUAUUUGACCUUUUGAUGUCAGAGGGCCUAAAACUCUGCCCUCAGAUCUUGAGCUCGCUGCCAUUUUCUGAACUGGCAUCCUGUGAAGACUAAUGUAGCUUAUUGCACCCCUGGAAAAUGAAUUUUUGAAGGAAGAUGGCGGCACCUGGCAACCGAUGAGGAGAGAAGACACGGGGCUCCCAGGGUGUGGCUGGACUCUUUCGUGACGGCCGCAUCCCCGCACACUCUCUCUCCUAACACCUCCUGACAGGCUGGGGAGGAGGAUGCAUCUGGUAUCUAGAAAGAAGAGCCACGCGGGAGUCACCUCGUAGGUUCCUGCAUCUUCUCAGGAACGUCAGUCAGCAGUGGGUCACAUUUCAACACUUUAACUUCCUCCGGCACAUGUAUGUCACACAACUAAAUAGAAGCCUCAAGCAGCAAAUAAAACCGAAGCCAGAACCAGCAGAAUCUCCUUUCCUUGAAAAAACUUCUUUGGAUGAGGCCAAAGCCAAAAUAUGUGAGAUGAGACCUCUUGUACCCUCCAGCCUGUCUCUGUCCAGAAAGCCAAGUGAAAAAGCAUUGAUAGAACUAGAACCCACCUCAGUAAUUGAGGGCUCCAUAGCUCUGGAGAAAGAGACGAAAGAAGAGAAGCAGUGGAAACGGAUGAAGCUCCGUGCGGAUGAUUUGCCAGGAAUUCUGGCCCAGCCGUCCCGUUCCGUCCCCUCACAGCCUGGUCGUCAGCACCACCUCGGCCAGCUUCGCCCUGGCUCCAGCGCCUUUUGACUGGUCCUGCUUCCUGCUUACCUUUGUUGGAACAGGCCUGGCUUCCUGUGUUGCCAACUCCAUCAAUCAGAACACCCAAGAGGAGUUGGCUUGGUUUUAAAACAGGAAUUGAAGUUACCAGCAGGAAAACAGCUUGGCCAAGUGGAUGCAUGUGCUGGUAGUCUGCAAAGCAUGAGCCUUUUCAUUCGGGAACAUCUAGAAUCAGUGUGUUUUUACCAUGUGUUAUCAGCUGCUUGGAGAAGGGUCAAUGCAUUUCAAAUAAAGUUAAUUUUCUGUUCCGAUUUUACAUCAAAACAGAGCUACAGGAGGUUCAAGCAGCUCUACCCCGCCCCCACCCACCACGCCCUCCUGUAAACCACAAGCCGUCUCUUCCUGUUGCACCCUCCCGUGUUCCCCAGCGAAGAGAUUGAUGACGGUUUCACAAUGAACACGUUUUUAAUGACGAUUUGAAUAAAAAGCAGUAUAAGUUAAAAAAAAA